UUAUUGAUACUUAAAGUAUCUCGUAUAUUUUCGGGAAUAUGGCCCGAAAGUUUCUACCGAGUGACCAUAAUAAUCACUCGACUACGAGGUAAAAGAGUACCUAG
rnacentral:ncRNA from 1 species